rnacentral:lncRNA from 1 species
CUCACUGGUAGCCUCCCUUGAAUCCCCACUUCUCUGAAUCUCUCUCAGAAACUCUAGCCGCCUCCCUCCACUUCUACCUUAAACCACCUUAAUCCAUGGCUUCCAAGGCCAUCAGAGUCCUAUAACGGCCUCCUAUGACUCCUACGCGCUUGGUUACUGAAGUUUCAAGGCCUGAUCAUAAAGAAGCUUGGUCCAGGAUACAUUUGACUCAAGUUCUAUGGCCGUCUCCAGCCUUGCUCUGGCAAGCCAAGGUUGUUUCGUGCCUCAUGUUGACCACUCCUGCUUAGAUCAACGAUUCUUCCAGGCCUUUCUCACCAUCUGGCUUCUUUUGAAACCCUAACCUUUUGAGGUCCUUCUGAUUUCUUUAGAUCUGUUCUAGAUCUGUGUUUUUCUUAAACUUUAAAACGGUUUCUCGAGGUUUCUUUAAAAACUAUGCUUUCGAAACCUUUCUUGUCCGAUUUAGGGUUUUUGUUAAAGUUAUCCGGAUGCUUCACUAAUUUUUGUUGAGUUUCUUGUGUGUUUCUUCUACUGUAUUUCUUAUUAGUUUUUUCUACUAUAUUUUCCUGUGUGUUUCUUCUACCAUAAUCUUAUGGGUUCUUCUACUGAUUUCAUAUGUUGUUCUUUUACUAUGUUUUUCAUGAGUCCCUUUCUACUGAAAAAUGCAUGAUUAAAGGUCUCAGUUAUUUUUUGAGAUUUCUAAACUUGUUUCGUUAGCAUUUCUGCCUGAUUUACUUGUUUUCACUCGAUUAAUGGCAAGAACCCUAGAAUUUGGAGGUUCAUCUAAGUUUUUAAGAAUGUUGGCUAUGUGAUUUGCUUGUGCUCCAUCUCUAAACUUGCUUGAUUUCAAAAGCCUUAAUGUUUUGGACCUAUUUGAGUUCAUGGAGUUGUUUCUUCUACUGGUCCAUUAAGUUUCAAAAUCAUUAUUUCAACUUUGUUUCUUUAUAUGAUUCUGACUUUUGCUAAACUCUAUAAGACCUUUUGUUUGACCCUUUUUCAUAUGCUAUUUGAUACUCUCUCUUCUCCAUUGCUGGAUUACCAUGUGAUUAUCAUAUUCCUAUAUAUUGUGAUUGCAUGACACUUUUUUUUGUCCUAAAUCAUGCCUUGCAUGCCAAUACUUGUGUACUUUUUAUACGUGUUGAACUUCCCUUCUAAAUGACUUUCAAUUUUUUUGAAUAAUUUUAGACUUCCUUUGUGUAAGUAUGAUUGAUUUUCUUUCCUUGUUUGCUGAUUUCCCCGUCACUUGGUUUGACUCGAAAAAUUUCCUUAACUUUUCUGAAUUGGUUUAUUCAAGAGCCAGCAAUUGAGAAUAUGGGACUCCUUGAUUACUGUGUACUAAUUGAUUCUUACCUAAUUUUUUGUUAAUUGUGUAUUUCAAAAUUCUUCCCCUAAACAAACUUCUAUGUAUUUACCCCUAAUUGACUACUUUGCACAAGAUGCUUAUUUGAUUUCUUCCCUUAAAUAAUUUUAGCUCGUUACUGUUUGAUUCAGUUUCUUAAUUAAAGGAAGUCUUAUACUGAUUAAUUUUAAAUUGAUACCCAGUUCCAUAAUUAUUUUAUUACCUUCUUUCCACCUAUUUUCAUACAAUAAAUACUUGCUCUUCAUUGACACAAACAGAGAUCAUCACUCAUUCACAGUCCUUCUGAACUCACAUUUAUUCACAAUAAUAUUCUCUAUUUUGUCUGCACUGUAGCAUGUUUAUAAGACAUGUUACUUUUCUCAAAUUGUCCCUAUGAAACUUGUAUGUCUGUAUUUAAUCUUUAGCACCACAAGAAUGUGUAUUUACUGCUUUGGUAUCCAUGUCUACUUAUUGUUUUUGUAGAAUUCAACACCUAAAUUAGCAUGUUGAUUUCCUUCUGUUUGUUCCUAUCAUGAAUCCCAAAACCCCUGCCCCUAUGUGUUUGAGAUAUGGUUUACGGCAUGAAAUAUUCAAAUUAUUGUCCAUGAACUAAACUUGAUCCUUUGAGAUCCUAGCCUCUAAUAAUGUGUUCUAGUAUGCUUCUGGGUGUACUAGCACUCUACAUUGCUGGGUAUUCCCACAACUUGCCUAGUCUUUUCAAUUUCUUAUUCCCCUGAACCCUUUUGUGCACCUACUUGUAACUGUUUCCCUUCCCAUUUCCCCUCUCAGAGUUCUGUGCUUGCACUCUCUCUUAGUUUUAAGUUCUGCCUCCUCUUGUGAGCCUUGCCUUGGGACCUUGAGGUCCAUCUGAACUUGGACACUUGAGGGCUGGCCUUUCCACACUGCACUAUGUGUUAAUCUGGUAAUACAUUUGGGUGUGAGCAUUGCCCGCAGUCCCCUUUGAGGCUCUUAGGGAACUUUGACACAUCCAAAUGAGAUAAAGGCUUUGGAUCAUGAUCUUUGGAGUUGGUUUACCUCAUAUUUAAGACGUAAAGUCCGAAUCUGGCUCGCCUUGGUUGUACUUUUUAAUUUCUGAUGUAUUCUUUUAUCUUUAUUCUGGGUUGUAAUAAUUUUAUAAUAAACGCUUGGGGAUGGAUAAUGAAAAGGGUGGGUAAUUAUGUAUGCAAAGGGUAAAUAUCCUACUUAUAUGUAUUUUUGAAAUUUUGCAUUCUUAAAUAGAUAUCAUGCCUAUGGGUAUUUUUGAAAUUCUGCAUUCUCAAAUAGAUAUACUGCUUAUUGGUAUUUCUGAAAUUCUGCAUUCUUAAAUAGAUGUCCUGCCUAUUGGUCUUCUGAAAAUUUGCAUUCUCGCAUAGAUAUCCUGCCUAUAAGUAUUUUUGAAAUUCUACAUUCUCACAUAGAUAUCUUGUCUAUAAGUACUUUUGUAAUUCUGCACUUCUUACAUAGAUACUGAUAAUAGGUGAAUUAGACUAUAAUUAUGUCUUAAAGAACCAUAUUUUUGUAUAGCUUUAUGCCAAAAAGUGAUAACCAAAUGCUCUGAUUAGUGCUUUUCAUGAUUUGCAGGCUAUAUCCGAUAAAAGAAAUUGGUGGAGCACUUUUGGAAUCAAUUCCGGAGAAGAGGAGGCCAAUCAAACUAUACCCACGAAGUGUACCAAGUGAAGGGACAAAACCAGAACUGAUCCUGGCCUGCUGCUGUCAAUGCCGCUUCUAGACCGUAACCGCAGUAGGGCAGCGGCUGAACACUACUAGAGAUUUCAAGGACCAUUCUGGCUGCGGUCCUAGCGUAACCGCGGUGGGACCACGUCAGAACGCACAAAUUUCAGGGACCAAAGUGUCAGGUCGGGAAAAGAUGGUGAAAAACCCUUACAAGAUGUAGAAAUUCAACCACAUUAGGGCAAACUUAUUUUGGAGAUUACUUUUCCAAGAUACACAAGUGCGAGAGAUCACCCAAAAACAUCAUAGUUCUUUAUCUCUUCUUUUUCUUGUAAUUUUCCAUGAUGAAUAUUUUCAUAGUUUAUCUUUAC